ensembl:lncRNA
GGGCACAUCUGAACUGAAGGGCCAGGCCAUGAAGAAAUUGGGUGUCUGAAGGGGUUGGAGGCCAGCAGUAUGGGGUUGGGACAUGGCAUACAUAGGGUCAAGGUAGCUGGGGUUCUGUCCAGGAUGUGGGAAUCUGGACCAGAGUCUGAGUAUCUGAGGAUUCUCCUUCUUAAGUGACCUCUGGUUUUUUCAAUCUGGAUGUGAUUGUUUAAGGGGUGAGAACCAUGUUAGAAAAAUGAAAGUGGAAAUAUCAGUUGCUCAGUCAGUCAUAUCUGACUCUUUGUGAUCACGUGGACUAUAGCCAACCAGGCUCCUCUGUCCAUGAAAUUCUGCAGGCAAGAAUAUUGGAGUGGGUUUCCAUUCCCUUCUCCAGGGGAUCUUACUGACCCAGGGAUCGAACCCUGGUCUCCUGCACUGCAGGCAGAUUCUUUACCAUCUGAGCCACUAGGGAAACCUGUCUUAGGAAAAUGGCUCCAUUUUACUUAUCAGAGAUUCCUAGGAGUUCCCUAGCCAGGACAGGGAAAGUCCAACCUGGAGGUGCCACUGGGAGCGCAUAUGCCAAGGUGAGCCCUCCUUAAAGAAGCUUGGCCUGGUGACCCUUGGACACACCUUCCAGUGGGCCUCCCCAUGUCCUCCAGGUGAGGCCUUAUCAUUCCCUCAGCCCUUCAAGAGCACCUUCUUGAGUCAGGCACCAAAAUGUAGAAGGGAGCUAAGACAGAUGGAGAAGGCUAUGGGCCUCUGACCCUGACAUGCUGAACCAUCGUACGUGAUGACUCCAACUCUGACCCGGCCUCCAAGGAGGCUGCUGGAAGCCUGUAUGCACCCUCUCUGGGUUGGCUUUCCUCAUCCUGCAAACGGAGCUCCUAGCAGCCUCUGAAGCAUGGAAUGAAGCCUCUUUCUAAGUUGAUGUGGAUGUUGCUGGCCUGUGGACUGUACUUCUUAUGGUGAUGCCUGGGAAGGUUCGGCCAGCCUGAAGACCCGAAGAAGAUCCUGGAAAAGCUAUGUCCCCAUAGAGGGAGUGUCAGGCAUCUGCAGGGAAGUGGGCUCCUCCAGGCCUGCAAGCUGCACACAAGACAGACUCAUGGAGAUGAGAUACAAAUAGGAAACAAGCACAGGAGGAGUAGAUGGCCAGAAAUGCUCACAUCACUGCAAAGCGGAUUAGCAUCUUAAGUUUCCAGAUGUUGACACUAUGUAUUGAACCAAGCCAAUAGUGGAAACCAGAGAAAGAGCUUCAAGUCUGCAGUGAAAAUGGCAAUGCUGCUGGAGACACAGAUUUUGUGUCUCUGAGACCGAUGAAGAUCCAUUCCAAGAGAGCUUUCCCCACAGGCAGGGAUGAGGUGUGACGUAAGUGUGACAGAGGCCCCUGUUCCCAUCAGCUUUUCAGAAACAUUCCCCAGAAGUUUGAUCCUGCUUGGCAGCAGCUUCUUGCUGGCUGUGGUGCUGAACAUAGCGAGGACUCCCCAUUAGUGAGCUGUUUUUCAUCUUAGUGGCACUUCCCAAAGCACUAUAUCAUGAAUCAGGCUGGAAAUGGCUUUCAAAUGUUCCUUUGCCCAAGCAGGCAAUGCAGGGUCAGAGAGGCUGCUGUGGGUGAAUAGGUGACAGUGCGUGAGGGCUUUGUGUCUGAUAUGGAAGGCUCAGAUCAUCCUCCUGUGGCUGCAGUGGUCCCUGUAAAGGGUGGGGCAGAGGCCUUCGUGGCUCCUGGGUCCCUUAGUAAUUUUUGUCACAGCCAUGUUGGGGCAAGAAGGAAAUGCCACAGCAAAUGGGAUUGAAAGUGUAAUAACAAAAGUCAUCCUCUCCUCCAUGCCUGAGUCAUGCUGUGCAUGGUGAACUUGAUGAGGUUUAAUCUGUGACUCCCAAUGUUACCUUUGGUUUCACAUCAGAAACUGAGCCCAGGCCCGUGUGAGGAAAAGCCUGGAAAGUGGAGAGAGGGAGUCUAGAUGCUCUCACUAAACUUCCAAAUCCUAACACCAAUAUCCUCAAACUUUGGUUUAUAUCCC